rnacentral:rRNA from 1 species
GACGAACGCUGGCGGCGUGCUUAACACAUGCAAGUCGAACGGAAAGGCCCUGCUUGCAGGGUACUCGAGUGGCGAACGGGUGAGUAACACGUGGGUGAUCUGCCCUGCACUUCGGGAUAAGCUUGGGAAACUGGGUCUAAUACCGGAUAGGAGCCAUCUUUAGUGUGGUGGUUGGAAAGUUUUUUCGGUGUAGGAUGAGCUCGCGGCCUAUCAGCUUGUUGGUGGGGUAAUGGCCUACCAAGGCGGCGACGGGUAGCCGGCCUGAGAGGGUGUACGGCCACAUUGGGACUGAGAUACGGCCCAGACUCCUACGGGAGGCAGCAGUGGGGAAUAUUGCACAAUUGGCGCAAGCCUGAUGCAGCGACGCCGCGUGGGGGAUGAAGGCCUUCGGGUUGUAAACUCCUUUCGCUAGGGACGAAGCUUUGUUGUGACGGUACCUAGAUAAGAAGCACCGGCUAACUACGUG